AUCCAGCUGUCGAGUCCCAAAUAGGACGAAAUGAGCGUUGUGGAU
rnacentral:hammerhead_ribozyme from 1 species